rnacentral:rRNA from 1 species
GACAUGAGGGAGGGCAAGCGUUGCUCGGAAUUACUGGGCGUAAAGGGCGCGUAGGCGGCCAGCGCAAGUCAGUUGUGAAAUCUCCGGGCUUAACUCGGAAAGGUCGACUGAUACUGCGCGGCUAGAGUGCGGAAGGGGCAACUGGAAUUCUCGGUGUAGCGGUGAAAUGCGUAGAUAUCGGGAGGAACACCAGUGGCGAAGGCGACUUCCUGGCCUGUUCUUGACGCUGAGGCGCGAAAGCUAGGGUAGCAAACGGG